UAAGUGCAAAAAUUGGGUUACCUCCCAACAAGUACUAAGUUUAACAUCUUCAGUCGGAUGCUGUUUCACUUUAUUUUUUUAGUUUUAAUUUAAUUUUAAAAAAAAAAGAGAAGAAGAAGAAGAAGAGAUAGAUGAGAAGUUAUUUUUUUUUUUAACAAACACAUUAUACAAACAAAUUUAGCUAGGAUCAACCUAAAUCUAAAUAGCUCCUAACUGUCA
rnacentral:lncRNA from 1 species